GUGCCUUAAACUAAUGAGUAAGGAAAAUACAAAGCCCUGGUAAUGCUUGGCUUACAAAAUAUAAUUUUACCAUAAUUUUUGAAAGGGUACAGGUCGUCCCCAAUGAGGUGUCCGCCUACUUUAGCGGGUGCCUCGGGUGAUAGCGAUCUGCCCU
rnacentral:snRNA from 1 species